CAGGGAGACAAACAAUAGAUCGUGAUGUCUAAAAGUUUUUUUAGGCCAUGGUCCUGUCACCUUAGGUCGAUCGGUACCUCAGAUUACUUCCAUAAAUUAUUGAGAAAUCACUAGAAUUUGGAAUGUGGUUUCAGUUCCUAAACUUGUCUAGGUCACACCCCGCAAGGGUUACUCCUGGGCCAUUAGCUCAGGUGGUUAGAGCGCACCCCUGAUAAGGGUGAGGUCCCUGGUUCAAGUCCAGGAUGGCCCAUUCGGUGUUGGGGGUAUAGCUCAGUUGGUAGAGCGCCUGCUUUGCAAGCAGGAUGUCAGCGGUUCGAGUCCGCUUACCUCCACUGACCGCACCCCUUAAAAGCCCCAAUUGUGAGAACCAAUGCGUGAUGUGAUCUAUACGUUGAUUCAGCUGAUUGAACCUAGCUUCCUUUCAUUCCAAUCCUAAGUACAUAUUACUUAGACUAGGUUGACAGGACGCUGGGCUCAUUGGGAAUGAAAAUUCCCAAAGAAGUUCGGCAGAACCUUGACAACUGCAUAGGUGAGUCUGGAAAGAAUAAAGCAUCUCAUGGAUGCAUAAUUCAAUUUCCUCGAUUAAUUCAAGAAUACGAAAGUAUUUGAAAAUGAUCGUCGAAAACUUGAAUUAUGUUUUGAAAUUCUUGAGUUAGAGCUGAGACUUUGCAAGGGUCUUUUAAUGCUGUCGAGGCAUUAAAAGUUAGAUUUGCUAUUUAAAGAAGGCUUUUAUAAUUCAAUAUUCUGUUCUUAUUUAGAACUAGAUAAUUGUUAAUUAUUCUCUUCUUUGAAUCCAAAGAAUACGUUUUCAACAACGUAAGCCCUGCAGAGAUUAUAU
rnacentral:tRNA from 1 species